UAGCUUUAUGGGCCACUGAAACUGCAUCCAUGUGACCAUCCUGAGGUGGACAGGACCACUGGUCUGGAUGGAAGAAGCACAAAACCCAGAGAGCAGUCUAGCCUUUGGGAUCUCCUGAUUCUUAUACAGAUCUCUGAGCC